rnacentral:lncRNA from 1 species
GGAUUUGACUAGGGUUUGUUUAGGAUUUGGUUAGGAUUUAUUUAGGAUUUGGUUAGGAUUUUUUUAGGAUUUGGUUAGGAUUUUUUUAGGAUUUGAUUAAGAUUUAUUAAAGAUUUAUUUAUGAUUUUUUUAGAGUUUGAUUAGGAUUUGGUUAGGAUUUGGUUAGGAUUUGGUUAGGAUUUGUUUAGGAUUUAUUUAUGAUUUAUUUAGGAUUUAUUUAGAAUUUGGUUAGGAUUUGAUUAGGAUUUGUUUAGGAUUUGGUUAGGAUUUGGUUAGGAUUUGUUUAAGAUUUGGUUAGGAUUUGAUUAGGAUUUUAUUAGGAUUUGGUUAGGAUUUGAUUAGGAUUUAUUUGAGAUUUGUUUAGGAUUUGAUUAAGGUUUGGUUAAGAUUUAUCUAAGGUUUGAUUAAGAUUUAUUUAGGAUUUGACUAAGAUUUGACUAGAAUUAGAUUAUAUUUUCACUAGGAUUUAAUUAAAGUUUCUAUUUUAAUAUUUUAUUAAGGUUUUUAUUUUAGUAUAUAUUUUUUUAAAUUCCUAUGUUAUUUCUUUAUGAUUUUUAAAAAGGCUCUAGGAAUAUUUUGUAUUUCUUAUAUAAUUCCUUUGAAAUUUUGAUUGAAUUUGAUUGAUAUUUGAUUAUAUUUGCUAAUCUUUAAUUC